rnacentral:rRNA from 1 species
UAGGGAAUCUUCGGCAAUGGGGGGAACCCUGACCGAGCAACGCCGCGUGAGUGAAGAAGGUUUUCGGAUCGUAAAGCUCUGUUGUUAAGGAAGAACGAGUGUGAGAAUGGAAAGUACAUGCUGUGACGGUACUUAACCAGAAAGGGACGGCUAACUACGUGCCAGCAGCCGCGGUAAUACGUAGGUCCCGAGCGUUGUCCGGAUUUAUUGGGCGUAAAGCGAGCGCAGGCGGUUAGAAAAGUCUGAAGUGAAAGGCAGUGGCUCAACCAUUGUAGGCUUUGGAAACUGUUUAACUUGAGUGCAGAAGGGGAGAGUGGAAUUCCAUGUGUAGCGGUGAAAUGCGUAGAUAUAUGGAGGAACACCGGUGGCGAAAGCGGCUCUCUGGUCUGUAACUGACGCUGAGGCUCGAAAGCGUGGGGAGCGAACAGG